AUUGAACGCUGGCGGCAGGCUUAACACAUGCAAGUCGAGCGGGGUGAUGGUGCUUGCACUAUCACUUAGCGGCGGACGGGUGAGUAAUGCUUAGGAAUCUGCCUAUUAGUGGGGGACAACAUCUCGAAAGGGAUGCUAAUACCGCAUACGUCCUACGGGAGAAAGCAGGGGAUCACUUGUGACCUUGCGCUAAUAGAUGAGCCUAAGACGGAUUAGCUAGUUGGUGGGGUAAAGGCCUACCAAGGCGACGAUCUGUAGCGGGUCUGAGAGGAUGAUCCGCCACACUGGGACUGAGACACGGACCAGACUCCUACGGGAGGCAGCAGUGGGGAAUAUUGGACAAUGGGGGGAACCCUGAUCCAGCCAUGCCGCGUGUGUGAAGAAGGCCUUAUGGUUGUAAAGCACUUUAAGCGAGGAGGAGGCUCUUUUGGUUAAUACCCAAGAUGAGUGGACGUUACUCGCAGAAUAAGCACCGGCUAACUCUGUGCCAGCAGCCGCAGUAA
rnacentral:rRNA from 1 species